rnacentral:rRNA from 1 species
AUUGAACGCUGGCGGCAUGCUUUACACAUGCAAGUCGAACGGUAACAGGCCGCAAGGUGCUGACGAGUGGCGAACGGGUGAGUAAUGCAUCGGAACGUGCCCAGUCGUGGGGGAUAACUAUCCGAAAGGAUAGCUAAUACCGCAUACGAUCUGCGGAUGAAAGCGGGGGACCUUCGGGCCUCGCGCGAUUGGAGCGGCCGAUGUCGGAUUAGCUAGUUGGUGGGGUAAAGGCCCACCAAGGCGACGAUCCGUAGCUGGUCUGAGAGGAUGAUCAGCCACACUGGGACUGAGACACGGCCCAGACUCCUACGGGAGGCAGCAGUGGGGAAUUUUGGACAAUGGGGGCAACCCUGAUCCAGCCAUGCCGCGUGAGUGAAGAAGGCCUUCGGGUUGUAAAGCGCUUUCGGACGGAACGAAAUGGUUACGGUGAAUAUCCGUGAUUGAUGACGGUACCGUAAGAAGAAGCACCGGCUAACUACGUGCCAGCCGCCGCCGUAACAC